AAACUUUCUUUUAAAAAAAUUUUUUUUUAGAGAUCUCUAACUUCAUGCUAAGAGCAGUUUGGAGAGACUUUGACAGAACAGGUCAGCAUAAUAUCUGCAACUUCCAUUCGAUUUUCCUAUAAUA
ensembl:snoRNA Small nucleolar RNA SNORA44